ensembl:lncRNA
AUGUGUGCAGGUGCUGCCCCUGGAGGCCCGGUCCCGGGCACGCUCGCCUCAGCUCCUGGUGGUCCGGCCCCGGACACGUUCGCCUCAGCUCCUGGUGGUCCGGCCCCGGACACGUUCGCCUCAGCUCCUGGUGGUCCGGCCCUGGACACGUUCGCCUCAGCUCCUGGUGGUCCGGCCCCGGACACGUUCGCCUCAGCUCCUGGUGGCCCGGCCCCGGACACGUUCGCCUCAGCUCCUGGUGGUCCGGCCCCGGACACGUUCGCCUCAGCUCCUGGUGGUCCGGCCCCGGACACGUUCGCCUCAGCUCCUGGUGGUCCGGCCCCGGACACGUUCGCCUCUGCUCCUGGUGGUCCGGCCCCGGACACGUUCGCCUCUGCUCCUGGUGGUCCGGUUCCGGCCACGUUCGUCUCUGCUCCUGGAGGCCCGGGGUCGGCUACGUCUCCACGUCUGUCUUCGCCUCUGGUUCCUGCCCCGUCUCCACGUCUGUCUUCGCCUCUGGUUCCUGCCCCGUCUCCACGUCUGUCUUCGCCUCUGGUUCCUGCCCCGUCUCCACGUCUGUCUUCGCCUCUGGUUCCUGCCUCGUCUCCACGUCUGUCUUCGCCUCUGGUUCCUGCCUCGUCUCCACGUCCGUCUUCGUCUCUGGUUCCUGCCGCGUCUCCACGUCCGUCUUCGCCUCUGGUCCCAGCCUCGUCACCACGUCGGUCCUCGUCUCUGGUCCCAGCCUCGUCUCCACGCCGGUCCUCGUCUCUGGGCCCAGCCUCGCCUCCACGUCUGCCCCUGGUUCCGGCUUUGUCUCCACGCCUGUCUUCGUCGCUGUUCCCGGCUUCCCGCCAGCUUUCGCCUCGCCUGCCCGACGGAGGGCCAGGUCCUUGGCGAAUCCUGUGGCAGGGAUGGCGCUGCCUCCUGCGUCGUCGGCCACCUCGGCUGGCCGGUUCCGGAGGCGACCACUUACCUGGAGGUCGCUGUUUCCUGCUUCGACGAUGGCGCGGGCUCUGGCACUGCCGACCGCCGCGUCUUCUCAGUCCCCUGGAGCACCCCCGGUCUGGAGAGCACCGGCGCAUGCGUUUGGCCACUGGAGGCAGCAUGUUUCGACGUCGGCCUCCUAGAACUCUAGCCUUGUCUCCGGGCAUAAGAUGUGCCGUCUCGGCCUGGCGGCUGCACGGCCGUGACUCUCCUCGUCACCACCCCCCUUGA